ACCCUGGAGUUAGCUUAUACUGUUAAUCAUGCUCUCUUGUGUUAUCCUGUUAAUUCUGCUUUCUUGAAGGCUAUGUUGGGUUGUGCCUAAAAGUAGGACUUGAUUUCUGUGUUAGAGACUUCACAUCAUCUUAAAAUUCAAGACCGGUGCAAGAGAUUCGAUCAAAACACGCACUCUGAAUGUUUGCAAGAUGAGCACAAGACCUUUGUAAGAACCAGACAGGGAGGUCUUUAUUAUGAAGAGAAGAAUCAUUUUAUGUUUGGUCAAAGCUGUUGGUGGAGUGGUCCAAGCCUCCUGUGGAUGAAACACACCCAGCCAAACGCAGGCCAAGUGUCCUUACCUGUGCAGCCCCUCCUGUAGCAAAGGUAGCAGUGCUACAAACACGUGCUCCAAACACGGAACUCCUCACAGAGCUGAGCCCAGCCAUGGAGUGUACACAGAUCACCAGGACUUCUGCUGGCUGGGCUCUGCUGUGCACCCCAUCCCUUCCACUAGGGAGCCAUGGCAUCCAGUGUCCUCACUUGUGCAAGCCUCCUCUUUAUGCUCUCCUAACAUUCCUGCUCCCAGAACAGCCCCUGCUGCUGAUUUCUCCAGAAGAGCUGGGUUCGUGCCCCAUCCAGGCCUGCUUAGGGGGCUGAACCACUGCUGAAUUCCCUGACUCCUUUGGUACAGAUCUUCAGCUGAGUCUGAGAAGAAGUGCUGAGCCAUCUCCUGGGGCUCGCCUGGUGUGCAGUCUUCGUGUUGAGCCUCUUCAGUGGAUGUGCAAUUGCCAAGGCAGCCAUCUGGUGAGGUGAAAAGAAGCUGCCAGGACAAGAGCUGCAGCUCUGCCACACAUCACAACAGAGGUUCAAGGCAAACUGGAUGCAUGCAGCCAAACUGAAUCCUUUAAAAUUAAUCUGUUGAAAGACCUGCAGUGAGAGGCUGACAGGCAGUAGUUAUGGUGAUGGCUGAAGUGUGGUUGAGGGUGCUGCAAUUGCUGCUCAUGCAGAGAGCAGAUAAAUCCCUCAGAUGUGCAGGUUGCCAAGAACUGACAUCUUUUGUAAACAGCAUCUCUCAGUUUUGCCCCAGAGAUGUCCAGCUUGGGCAUGACAUGGAAGAAAGCUGAGAGAAGAGAUGGGGAGAGAGGGAAAAGAAAGCAGCAGCAUAAAACAUCUGUGAAACUGAAGAAAGCAGCUUCUAGUGUGGAUGGGUUCCUGUGCAAACUGUCAGAGCUGAAGUGGGAGAGAAAACCUCCAAAGCUAGAGGUAAGGGUAAAGAGAUGUUGCAUCACUUCUCCUAGUCUAGGCUUAUUUGCUGGGCUUCUUGCAGUUUCAGAGGACAUGCUUAAGUGGGUAGGAAUUGCUGCCAGUCUGCACACAGCCUGCUCUCUACCUUGGCCUCUUAGUCAGGAGUGUUAGAGCAAUCUGCAGGAAGAUGGAGGUGAUGAAUGGCACAGCAAGUUCCAGCGGUGCAGAGAGGUGGAGGCAGAUUUUGUUACUCAGGACCCUUGGUCCUGCCCCAGAGAUGAUGUUUAUAUUGGCAGGAUCCUUGAAAAAAGGGCUUGGCUUGGCUUGCAUUUAGCUUCCAGUUCCUUGGUGUGGCAUGCUCAUGGAGGCCUCCAAGAUCCCAGGAGAGGUGGGAAAAGUGGGGGGCAGGCAUGAUGGUGACAGCAGCCAAGGACUGACUUCCCACAGAGGAAUCCCUCUGGGAGUGCAGAGGUGCCCUAUAGUGUCACAUUCAGCACCCUUAGCUCAGGGCUGGCAGUGCCACUGUUUUUCUGUUGCUGUCCUGAACGGCAGCUGCUGCUCUUUAUUUCAAGGAGGAAAAAGAGUGAGAGACCCUCACUGCCCCAGGGAACCUGGCAGACCUGCUUCCCCUUACCUCUGUCCUCCCUCCUCCUAAAAUUUUGGAAUUAAGUUCUAGUAUCUCAUAAAACAUCACGCUUAUAUCAUAACUUCAGUGUGCAGAGAGCCCAUGCAGGGGCCGGGAUGCAUACAAAUUGCUGCUCUAAAUCUCCAGCUACAAUAAGGAAACGUCAGAUGGUGGCAGUUUACUUGAUAAAUACCUAAUAUAGCUUAAAUAAUUAUUUAAUGCAGACAAAUGGAAAAAGAGAGCAUCUAUGUGCUGUGUUAUAAUAAACUACAGCUCGUGACUUGUUGAGCGGUGAGAGCAGCAGCUCCAGCUCUACCACGGCCAGGGCAGGAGGACUCAGGCUGAGUAUUGGCUGUGGGAAGGUCCUGCCAGGAGCUAACAGGUGUUUAGUGGCAGACUGAUGAGAGAUGAGAACCCUCAGGGAGCACAAUUAAUGCAGUGCUGAUGACCUAGGUGGAGUGAUGAGUGUUUCGUCCCGCCACGUUCCCCACACUGACUGUAGGGCUGAGUGUUGACUGUAGGGGCGAGUGCAGCCCAAGCUGGGCUGUGCUUCCAGCAGUGCCAUCCAGUGGGGUGAGGAGGGGCUGUCUGUGCUUUGCUGUUCCUGUUGCUGGUUGGACAGCUGCAUCUCUGCACUGCUGUGUCACACCACAGCAUCUCUCAGCCCCAACAGCACUGCAGCAGUGUGUGAGUGUGGCUGUGCAGGUGAGCAUUUGACCCAGCUGUACGCACUGAGGUUUGGUGGUGACCGGUAGCCCAAAAGGAAGCAUCACGCAGCGGUGUGAGGCAGGUUGCUCUGUCAGCUUAGCAAACUCCCAGGGCCAAGGGUGUUGCACUGCCAGCAGGAACGUCUUGUGGAGCUGCUUUACACCACACUGCCAGCAGAAUUUUGUGGGUUUUGUGAGUGCAGCUCACGGUCUUUACCUCCUUUCAGCUCCAUGGUCGAUGACUGUUGAUGGGUUUUUGCUUUAUAUGCUCAGUGGUAUUUCAUGAAGCGCGCUGGUCUCCUCCACGAGCUCUCCGACAGAUUACAAGGACUGCACUUGACUGAGCUCCUGGUGUUCUGCUGUGUCUGCUGUACAGAGACAGAGCUGUGGCACACGCCUUUGCAUGGCAGGGGAUAAACACAGCAGCAGAGAUGGAAGAUAAGUGGCAAUAAAAAGUACAGUGUGGAGCGCCUGCCCUUUAAAAUAUAUUAGAUAGUUUACAAAUAAAGCUGUGUAUUUUUAGGAUCUAUCUAGAAUUGUUUGGCCUGUAGACCUUGAGGAAUCUGACCUUGAAGGGAAAAAGUAAAGCUGUAGCCAGCCUUCAAAAUGAUCUGGAAGCAGAUGAGGACAAGGAUUCUUGCUUAUUAUUUCAGCAAUAAUGGUGUGCAGAAAUGCCAAGUGUUUGGUGAGGUUUGCAAGCAGGGCUCCUUCCUUCCUUCCUUCCACAACCAUCCUGGUGGAGCAGUAAGGAGGAGGGGGCCUGAGCUGCAGCUUACUUUCCCUCAAGUGAACCUGGUGGAGAUGGCUGUGAAGUGACUGUAGGAAUUGGUGCUGUAAUCCUCUCAUUUUAAAUUUGUUCUUAGAGAAAACACAGAUGAUUCUCUGCAUGGAGAAUCCCCUGCACGUGCUGGGGCCAGGCUGCUGAUUCAGGGAGCCAGAGCCUCCACGUGCUUUGUGCUCUGGCAGAGAAAAUGUAAACACAUCUCUGGUUUUAUGUCUGACCGAGGAGAUGUAAAUCAAGUGUGUGCUGAAGCCUUUUAAAUGUUUUGACAUUUUCCAAUCCAUCAAGGCCUUUAAUUGUAUUUUGAGUGAGUUGUUGUAUAUGUAAAUACCCGUUAAUGUUGAAAUUGUUUAUAGCCAAAUUGUCUGUUUAUGCAAAUCGUGUUCCGAGAUCACAGAGUUUCUAUUGCGGAAUAAAAGUCUCUUUUAUUUAAUGCUAGGAAUGUUUCCUGUGGCUGCUCUGGCUUUCACAGAUGAUGU